rnacentral:rRNA from 1 species
GUAGGUGGCAAGCGUUGUCCGGGAAUUAUUGGGGCGUAAAGCGUGCGCAGGCGGUUCUUUAAGUCUGAUGUGAAAGCCCACGGGCUCAACCGUGGAGGGUCAUUGGAAACUGGAGAACUUGAGUACAGAAGAGGAAAGCGGAAUUCCACGUGUAGCGGUGAAAUGCGUAGAGAUGUGGAGGAACACCAGUGGCGAAGGCGGCUUUCUGGUCUGUAACUGACGCUGAGGCGCGAAAGCGUGGGGAGCAAACAGGAUUAGAUACCCUGGUAGUCCACGCCGUAAACGAUGAGUGCUAAGUGUUAGGGGGUUUCCGCCCCUUAGUGCUGCAGCUAACGCAUUAAGCACUCCGCCUGGGGAGUACGGCCGCAAAGGCUGA